CUGGCCACGCUGGGGAGGGAGUUGGGGGAGGAAGCGAGCAGCCAGCUGCCCUGAGCAGCAGGGGUCUCUACAAAUUUCUUAGCAGAUUCAAUGCUAUCAAACACAACAAAAAUUGAUCCCUGUAAAAGGAAGGAAAAUAUUUUUUUAAGUUAUGUCCCUUAUAUUUUAAAACUAGAAAAAGUCUGUAUUAUCAUACCUUAAAUGCUUUAUGCAAUGUUCUUCUCAUCUGAAUAUUUAGUACUUGACCUUUAUCUUCUAACCAUUCUUUUAUGUCAUAGGAACUGAAGGCAUUCACCCUCCCUUGAAGUAAUGAAGCUGACACAGCAGGGGGCUGCAAAUUCCA
rnacentral:lncRNA from 1 species